AAACUUCCAACCAUCGGCGGCAGCCUUCCCCAAUCUCGCCGCCUCCUUAACCUCUUCAUCUUUACAUGCUCCUCUCUUCCUCUCGCAGCACACCAAAUUAGGUCAGAGCAGAGCAGGUGGAGGAGCUCUCCUCUGCCUCCCGCUCCUUCCCCGAAGCCUCUUCCUCAUCGCUCUCUACUCCAUCCGUUGGUGUUGCUGUGGUACAAGACAACUCAUAGUCAAUAUAAUUACUCACGCCAUCACAACCUAAUCUGAUGGAGAGGUGGUUGAUUACCGCUACCCAAUAGCAAGCCCCGAAGAAGUGGUCGCCCGCAAUGACGAUCGCCGUCUCCGACCCGCUUCGUCUCCUCUUCAGCGCCUUCUGCUUGCUUCUCUUGCUGGAUCUCGCCCUCUCCCAGAACUCCUCCUCCUGCCCCCUCGACUUCUCCGUGACCCAGAAGUUCGUCUCCGCCGCCGCUUCGUCCCCUAACUCUUCCGACUCUGCCCACAGCUGCACCUACGCCCUCCAGCUCCUCCACCUCACCCUCUCCCAGUACCUGCGUACCGACUCGCUGUUCCACCCCCCCGUCGACGCCGCCGCCGCCUGCUGGACGGCCUUCCAGGCCGCCCUCGCGCCGCUCUUCUCCGCGGCUGACCCCUUCGAUGUCCGCACCGGAUGCGGGUUCCGCACCGAGUGGAUCGCCCAGGGGUGCAUGAACAUCACCUCCCGGCAGGAUUUCGAGAACGUGGUGCCGUCCGCCGGCAUCAGCGACAUGGACCGCAACUGCAACCAGUCCUUCCAGACCACGCCCGCCUGCACCGCCUGCACCGUCAGCCUAAACCGCGUCAAGGCCGCCUACCUUCCCGGUCCUAACCACGGGAAUGUCUCCGACUGCGCCUCCUACCCCGCCAUCUACGCCGGCGGCGCCAUUAGCAGCUUGGGCCCCUCGGACGGCGCCAACGCCUACUGCUUCUUCCUCCUCAGCCCCAACACGUCUGCCCCUUCCCCCUCCGGCGGCGGCUCCAGCACUUGGAUCUACGGCGUCGCCGCCGGCUGCUUCGUGCUCCUCCUGCUCGCCGCUCUCGCGGCUUGGUUCUGGGUCAGACGCUAUCUGAAUCGGCGGAGGAAGCUGCGGAGGAAGCCCUCGAAGCCGGAGGUCGAACCCUCGCUGGCACUGGAGUCGAUCAGCGCGAGCACAACCCUAGUCAAGUUCAGAUUCGACGACAUCAAGCAGGCCACUAAGAACUUCUCCAGGGACAACAUCAUCGGCCGCGGAGGCUACGGCAACGUCUACAAGGGCGUGCUGGCCGACGGCACCGAGGUCGCGCUGAAGCGAUUCAAGAACUGCUCGGCCGCAGGGGACGCGAGCUUCGCCCACGAGGUGGAGGUGAUCGCGAGCGUCCGCCACGUGAACCUCGUUGCUCUGCGAGGCUACUGCCUCGCCACCACCCAGAUGGAGGGGCACCAGCGGAUCAUCGUCUGCGACCUGAUGCGGAAUGGGAGCCUCCAUGACCACCUUUUCGGCACAGGGGAUCACCGGCUCAGUUGGCCCUUGCGGCAGAAGAUCGCUCUCGGAACUGCCAGGGGAUUGGCGUACCUGCACGACGGAGUUCAACCGGCCAUAAUCCACAGGGACAUAAAGGCAAGCAACAUUCUUUUGGAUGAGAUGUUUGAGCCCAAAGUAGCGGACUUUGGCUUGGCGAGGUUUGCGCCGGAGGGGAUGUCACAUGUGAGCACCAGGGUGGCUGGAACUCUUGGAUAUGUUGCUCCGGAAUAUGCCUUGUAUGGACAAUUGACUGAGAAGAGUGAUGUGUACAGCUUUGGAGUUGUCUUACUGGAACUCCUCAGUGGAAAGAAGGCAUUUGUUUCCAUGGGUGAGGGACAAGCGUUUGUACUGAGUGACUGGGCUUGGUCAUUGGUUCGAAGAGGGAGGACAAUGGCUGUUCUUGAGGAGGGGAUGGAGGAAUUGGGGCCAACAGAAGUGUUGGAGAAGUAUGUACUUGUUGCUGUCCUUUGUACCCAUCCUCAGUUGCAUGCAAGGCCUAAGAUGGAUCAGAUUGUGAAGAUAUUGGAGACUGAUUUGGCAGUCCCUUCAAUCCCAGACCGGCCAAUCUCAAUUGUGUCGAACAUUGAGGAUAUUGAAAGAUCUGUGAGCAGUAGUGGUUCAGGUCAGCUAUCUAGUUUUGCUGGGUACCAGCCAUUUGCUUUCGGAAAUGAUGAUGUUAGUUCUGAUGAUUCAGAAAAAGCAUGACACCACGGUCAUCUGACUGGACCAGUUCCAGAAUCGUUGGGGAGGCUGAUACAGAAUAAAUUAAUUGCAAGAGAUCUCUCUGGUACUUGGAGAGGAGCAUUUAAGAUCGAUGACGGCCAAUCUUACACUGGUUUAUACUGAUUCGCAGGUGCUCCACCCUCUACGGCUACUCUUGCUAGUCCUUCGAAGCUACCUGGUUUCACUACCGAUAUCUCCAGAGCUGCAAGAUCUCCCUCGGCCCUCUUCGCCUUGUAAACACUCCCCAGACAACCUUCGAGGGACUGACAACAUCUCCUCAAAUGCGUGAUGGACUCCUCCAUUCUCUCUCUCUGUAGAAGGGUGCAAUCUUUGCUCAAUUCGACGAAGAUGAUCAGAUGCUUCUGGUCCGAGUUGGGAUCCAGACAUCAAAUCUCUUUCGGUGAAGUCCUCUGAAGCUUGUUUUGGUGCUCUGGUGAUGAACUCCACUCUCGGGGAGGAGUUAUGGAACCCGACGACCUUGACAACAUCGUUCAGGCGGUAGCGGUACAGCCCUCGGUAAGUAGUCACCACCACCUCGUACAUCUUCCCGACCUCUACACCAGAAAUGUCUACUGUCUCUUUUGCAGCAGAUGAAGCUCCCAAGUCAAAGGGAAGGAACUCGAAGUAGGCUGCACCGGGAAGAAUCACAAAGCUCGUCAGCUCCGGCGGGCGCGUCCUGUCCAUGUUGAUGCCGAUGGGGCACUCCGAAGCGAAGUAGUCGCCGCCCAGCAAUGGCACGCCCUCGCCGGCGUAGUGCUUCAGGGUGGGAUAGUACUGCUCCAUGCUGCCGGUGCUAACACAAGCGAUGUAACGCAGUUCCGGCCACAAAAGGGGAAGAAUCCCAUUCCAAUUCUUUCUGCUGCUGGCUCCCCGAAUCCUCGCGGCCAAGUCUGGCCGCGGCCCACCGAGCAGCUCUUCGACCGCCCUUCUCAUGGCAAGCUCGGUGAUCUCUGAGCUGACCAAGCCGGAUUCGAUGUCAUCGCAGAGCUGCAUCCACUUGGACUCCAACAUGCGCAUCGCCCUGAUCAAGCCAGCUGCGUAAGGGGAUCGAAUGCAGUCGAUGGAGGCAGAGUGCCUGAGGCCGCAGAGGAGGUGGCAGUACAUCUGUUGUUGGGCGUCGGACCCUGUGAUGACCUCGCGGGGGCUAAUGCACAUCGAGAGCAAAGGUGAAGGCGUCGUCGUGGUGGAGUUGCUGUGGAAAGGGUAUGCAGAAGCUGCCAUUACCUUGAAUCCAGCUCUGGUCGUGGUGACAUUUCCGGCGUACAAGAACCACAGAAUCUUACUGCUAGAAGAUCUUGGAGGGAAUAACCUAAGCAAGAGAAGGAAGUCAAGUAUAUGAGAUAAGAGCAGCAUGGUUUCGAGGAUCGACAAGAACACCUGUGAAGGAAGGCCGAGCUGGCUUGGUGAGCAAGACUGGAAGCAGACUUGGCGUGUAUGGAAUCGAAGAAAGGUAUCAGCUUUGGCUUCAUCGUGCUCGUUCCUGAACUGGAAGUAGACCAAGGAAGGAUCAAACCGCAGCUCUAAUCUUUGUAUUCAAGGAGUGGAGCGAGAGAGAGAGAGGAGGCGAGAGACCUAUUGAAGAAGCAGAUGAGGGGAUCGAGGGAGAGGGCGGCCGGCGUCUCGGCGCCGUCGGUGAUCCUCUCGAUCAGAUCCGCGUAGUCGUCGUAGGAAGAGAGAGGGACGAGGCGGCGGAAGGCGGUGGCCACAAGGGCGGGGUCGACUCGGGCGGGAUCAGGGAGGCGGUCGCGGAGGUGAAGGCGGAGGUAGGCGGUGCCGGCGUUGCUCUCGAGGAUCGAGCGGAGGGUCUCCAGCUGGAACCGAAGGGCGUCGCGGGUGGACUCCUCGACCCACCUCGCCGCCUCGGCCGCCGCCGACGUCGCCAUCGGACGGGAUCUGGCAAGGCAGGAUGGGAAACGGGAUUCUCGGUCAACUUCAACGGCGUGCGCGAUUGGGAGUCUCACGAUCCGGUUGGUAUAAAUGCACGCAUGAGUUGUCCGAAGAGAGAGAGAGAGAGAGAGAGAUGCUUUGUUCUUCCUUCUCUCCUUGGGAGUUGGCACGCAUGAGUUGUCCGAAGACCUCUCGAAACUGCAUAAAUUAUUGAAUAAUUGUUUUCCUUAAA